AUUGAGCGCUGGCGGCAGGCCUAACACAUGCAAGUCGAGCGGAUGAAGGGAGCUUGCUCCUGGAUUCAGCGGCGGACGGGUGAGUAAUGCCUAGGAAUCUGCCUGGUAGUGGGGGAUAACGUCCGGAAACGGGCGCUAAUACCGCAUACGUCCUGAGGGAGAAAGUGGGGGAUCUUCGGACCUCACGCUAUCAGAUGAGCCUAGGUCGGAUUAGCUAGUUGGUGGGGUAAAGGCCUACCAAGGCGACGAUCCGUAACUGGUCUGAGAGGAUGAUCAGUCACACUGGAACUGAGACACGGUCCAGACUCCUACGGGAGGCAGCAGUGGGGAAUAUUGGACAAUGGGCGAAAGCCUGAUCCAGCCAUGCCGCGUGUGUGAAGAAGGUCUUCGGAUUGUAAAGCACUUUAAGUUGGGAGGAAGGGCAGUAAGUUAAUACCUUGCUGUUUUGACGUUACCGACAGAAUAAGCACCGGCUAACUUCGUG
rnacentral:rRNA from 1 species